AUUGAACGCUGGCGGCAGGCCUAACACAUGCAAGUCGAGCGGCAGCGGAAAGUAGCUUGCUACUUUGCCGGCGAGCGGCGGACGGGUGAGUAAUGUCUGGGAAACUGCCUGAUGGAGGGGGAUAACUACUGGAAACGGUAGCUAAUACCGCAUAAUGUCGCAAGACCAAAGAGGGGGACCUUCGGGCCUCUUGCCAUCAGAUGUGCCCAGAUGGGAUUAGCUAGUAGGUGGGGUAACGGCUCACCUAGGCGACGAUCCCUAGCUGGUCUGAGAGGAUGACCAGCCACACUGGAACUGAGACACGGUCCAGACUCCUACGGGAGGCAGCAGUGGGGAAUAUUGCACAAUGGGCGCAAGCCUGAUGCAGCCAUGCCGCGUGUAUGAAGAAGGCCUUCGGGUUGUAAAGUACUUUCAGCGGGGAGGAAGGUGUUGAGGUUAAUAACCUCAGCAAUUGACGUUACCCGCAGAAGAAGCACCGGCUAACUCCGUGCCAGCCGCCGCGGUAA
rnacentral:rRNA from 1 species